rnacentral:pre_miRNA from 2 species
UUGUAGGGCCUUCUCUGUCUUUCAAUAGGAGUGAAUGGUUCUAACGAAACUGAUCCUAGGUAAAUUCUCCUUCAAGUCCAGCACAUUGU